rnacentral:rRNA from 1 species
AUUGAACGCUGGCGGCAGGCCUAACACAUGCAAGUCGAGCGAGCUGCGGACGGGUGAGUACUGCAUGGGGAUCUGCCCGAUAGAGGGGGAUAACUACUGGAAACGGUGGCUAAUACGGCAUACUAUCGUCUGAACCCAUAUGGGAUUAGCUAGUGGGUGGGGUAAAGGCGCACCGAGGCGACGAACUCUAGCUGGUCUGAGAGGAUGAACAGCCACAUGGGGACUGAGACGCGGCCCAGACUAUGACGGGAGGCGGCAGUGGGGAAUAUGGCACACUGGGCGAAAGCCUGAUGCAGCCAUGCCGGGUGUAUGAAGAAGGCCUUAGGGUUGUAAAGUACUUUCGGCGGGGAAGCGUUACCCGCAGAAGAGGCACAGGCUAACUCCGUGCCAGCAGCCGCGGUAAUAC